rnacentral:rRNA from 1 species
CACGCCGUAAACGAUGUUCACUCGCUGUUUGCGAUAUACAGUAAGCGGCUAAGCGAAAGCAUUAAGUGAACCACCUGGGGAGUACGAUCGCAAGGUUGAAACUCAAAGGAAUUGACGGGGGCCCGCACAAGCGGAGGAACAUGUGGUUUAAUUCGAUGAUACGCGAGGAACCUUACCUGGGCUUAAAUGUAGAUUGCAUGAAUCGGAGACGGUUCUUUCCUUCGGGACUAUUUACAAGGUGC